rnacentral:piRNA from 1 species
UGACCAAAAUUUAUCAUCCUAAUGAAGACA